CGCUGGCGGCGUGCUUAACACAUGCAAGUCAAGGAGAAGGAUAUCUUCGGAUAUCUGAUACCUGGCGGAUGGGUGAUACGCGUAGCACUACUUCAGUUGGGAUAACACUGCUAACGCGGUGCUAAUACCGGAUGGUGCAUAUACACUGCAUGGUGUAUAUGUUAAAGCUGGCCACUGAUAUAAGCUAGUACCUGUAGAUGGGCUUGCGUUUCAUUAGUUAGUUGGUGGGGUAAUGGCUCACCAAGGCGACGAUGGAUAGCCGGCCUGAGAGGGUGAUCGGCCACACUGGGACUGAGAUACGGCCCAGACUCCUACGGGAGGCAGCAGUGAGGAAUAUUGCGCAAUGGCAGAAAUGCUGACGCAGCAACGCCGCGUGAGGGAUGAAGCUUUUCGGAGUGUAAACCUUUGUUAGGAGGGACGAACGGGCAUAAUACGAAUAGGGUUAUGCCGUGACGGUACCUCCAGAGGAAGCCCCGGCUAACUCCGUGCCAGCAGCCGCGGUAAUACGGGGGGGGCAAGCGUUGUCCGGAAUCAUUGGGCGUAAAGGGCGCGUAUGCUGACAGGUCAGUCUGUGGUGCAAUCUUGUGGCUUAACCGUAAGUUUGCCAUGGAAACUACCUGUCUUGAGAUCGGAAGGGGGAAGCGGAAUUCCUGGUGUAGCGGUGAAAUGCGUAGAUAUCAGGAAGAACACCGGUGGCGAAGGCGGCUUCCUGGUCCGAGACUGACGCUGAUGCGCGAAAGCGUGGGGAGCGAACAGGAUUAGAUACCCUGGUAGUCCACGCUGUAAACGAUGGGCACUAGGUGUUGGGCGUCAAGUUCAGCGCCGGAGCAAACGCAUUAAGUGCCCCGCCUGGGGAAUACGAUCGCAAGAUUGAAACUCAAAGGAAUUGACGGGGGCCCGCACAAGCGGUGGAGCAUGUGGUUUAAUUCGAUGCAACGCGAAGAACCUUACCUGGGCUUGAACUGCAGAGGCACGUACCCUGAAAGGGGUAUUUCCUUCGGGACUUCUGUAGAGGUGCUGCAUGGCUGUCGUCAGCUCGUGCCGUGAGGUGUUGGGUUAAGUCCCGCAACGAGCGC
rnacentral:rRNA from 1 species